rnacentral:rRNA from 1 species
CUGCGAAUGGCUCAUUAAAUCAGUUAUCGUUUAUUUGAUAGUACCUUACUACAUGGAUAACCGUGGUAAUUCUAGAGCUAAUACAUGCUAAAAACCUCGACUUCGGAAGGGGUGUAUUUAUUAGAUAAAAAACCAAUGCCCUCCGGGGCUCCUUGGUGAUUCAUAAUAACUUCUCAGAUCGCAUGGCCUUGCGCCGGCGACGGUUCAUUCAAAUUUCUGCCCUAUCAACUUUCGAUGGUAAGGUAUUGGCUUACCAUGGUUUCAACGGGUAACGGGGAAUUAGGGUUCGAUUCCGGAGAGGGAGCCUGAGAAACGGCUACCACAUCCAAGGAAGGCAGCAGGCGCGCAAAUUACCCAAUCCCGAUACGGGGAGGUAGUGACAAUAAAUACUGAUACAGGGCUCUUUAGGGUCUUGUAAUUGGAAUGAGUACAAUUUAAACCUCUUAACGAGGAACAAUUGGAGGGCAAGUCUGGUGCCAGCAGCCGCGGUAAUUCCAGCUCCAAUAGCGUAUAUUAAAGUUGUUGCAGUUAAAAAGCUCGUAGUUGAACCUUUGGCCUGGCUGGCGGGUCCGCCUCACCGCGUGCACUCGUCCGGCCGGGCCUUUUCUUCUGGAGAACCGCAUGCCCUUCACUGGGUGUGUUGGGGACCGGACUUUUACUUUGAAAAA